UACGGAGGGGGCCAGCGUUGUUCGGAAUCAUUGGGCGUAAAGGGCGCGUAGGCGGCCGACCAAGUCGGAGGUGAAAUCCCUCGGCUCAACUGAGGAACUGCCUCCGAUACUGUUCGGCUUGAGUCCCGGAGAGGGUAGUGGAAUUCCGAGUGUAGCGGUGAAAUGCGUAGAUAUUCGCAAGAACACCAGUGGCGAAGGCGGCUGACUGGUCCGGUUCUGACGCUGAGGCGCGAAAGCGUGGGGAGCAAACAGG
rnacentral:rRNA from 1 species